CUCAUUUUUCUCUCCGUCUUGCAUAUCUAGAGUUAUCGGGGCAACCUGCACACUGGUUUAGGGACAAUCGCUCAUCAUUCCGUCUUAUUAUUGUGCCAUUUGGAAAUGAAAACUUUAAAUUGCCUUUGCUGCUGCACACACGGCAUUCCAAUGAGUAAGUGACUGCAUAUUGAGAUUGGUGGCAUAGGCAGAUUCGAGUGUGUGCACCUUUAGAGAAGUUGAGGAACAGAAAGCAGAUAGCAAUAGGCACAGUUGUUGUGUAUUUUGCUUUCAACAAAAAGUUGUUUCACUUUUUUGAGCUCAUUGCAUCUGGCACAUGCUGUUCCAUAACAUGAAUGUGUUUGUUGCACACAACAAAAGUGGCUGAGGUACUAGCUGUGACGCUUUUUGUUAUGUGACUGCUAGCAUCGAGCACUGUCGAGGUGUGCUUGAGUGAGGUUAAUGAAGAGCUAUGUGUGGCAUUCAGUCCUGCAUAAAGCACCUGUGGUCAAUUCACUUAAUUUAUAGUUUACAGGUACUUUGCUCAGAGUGACAUGAGAAGUGGAUACUCAUAGGCACAUUUUUUUCCCCCAAUCUGUAUCAUUGCUCGCACAAAAGCUGUGCACUAAGAUGCUUUAAUUAUGUGUUUGUGUGUUGUCUGUAGCAGAGUUUAUUUUAUGUGAUGUGACUGUGUGAAUAGAGCUUCUUUUUUGUACAUUUUGGCAUUGUCACAUUGACAUUUUAUGUGAACUGGGGAAGCAAACAGUGCUCUCAAGAAGUCUGCACUACUUAUUUGUAACUGCUGUCUGAACAGUGCAAACAUGCGGGCCUUGCUUGUCGUGACACGUCCAUUGCAGUCUAGAUGGUUAGACUGGCAAGGCUUGUGCUGGAUCAGUGCUGUGCUUUGUUGUUUGUGACCACUGUGCUGGCUGACCCUUAGCUUGAGAAGCCUGCAUGCUAAAAUGCCUAUUGGUAUGAGUCAGUUGAAGGCUUCAAUGUAGCUGCGAAUGAAAAACAGGAGAUGACCUCUCUCUUCAUACUGUUUUCUUAAAUGGGACAUUGAAAGUACAAUACACACAUGCCUGACCCAUAGAAACAUAUAAUGGAAUGUACUGGUCUUGGAUAACACCGUCCCUAUGUCUCAAAGUUAUCGGUCCAUGAACUGAGUGCCCUCAUUCAGAGUUCACUGCCUUGGGUAGAAAGUGGACCAGUGUAUGAGCGCUUAGCAAGUUACAUAGACAUAGGUCCAGUUUAACAUAGGUCCAGGUUUAGUGUCAGUAAAACCUCUAAUGCCUACUGUUUUGUUGAACAGAAUAUCGGAACGAGAGGAGCUUAACAACACAGUAAGGGCUCAAUAUUAUUUGCUCUUGCUUCAUUUCCAUGCCAUCAGGAUGCAGUGAGUGCCACAGAAAAGCCACACAUUGUGAGAUAAUCCAUAGGGUGGUCAGCUACAGUAGUCACGAUUCACUAUUGCAUCAAAGCAUGUAGGUCAACCACUGGAUGUGUCUGUACACAUGGUUUUGUUCGCCAAGACCUCCCCUGUAGUUUCCUCUCCUUCCAAUUUAUAUUGCUGCGUGCUGCACUGAUUUUCAUCAACCUUGAAGCGCCGCCAUCACAGCUCCAGUGUGGAUCUUGGUGUGCAUAAAUUUCAUACUCUUCCUGCUGUGUUAUUAGAGCCAGGGGUUUGUAAACGAUCUACCGCUGGCUGUUGUAGUCCUGUGGUUGUUCGGUAUACAGUGGAUUUUGUAGCAGGCAGAGCCUUCCAAUGAGGGUUGCUGAAAACAAUAAAGUGAUCUUUCUUUUUA